GUAUAAGGGACAGGUGGUCCCACCUGACCCCAUGCCGAACUCAGAAGUGAAACGCCGUAGCGCCGAUGGUAGUGUGGGGUCUCCCCAUGCGAGAGUAGGGAACU
rnacentral:rRNA from 1 species